rnacentral:lncRNA from 1 species
GGUGUUGACUGUAGAUGUGAGUUGACCUCGAUUUUGUGUCAUACCAGUUUUAUUUGUGGUAAGAGUGAAAAAAGACGAACCGGCGAAUCCCUGCCUGAUGCUGUUCUGCCGCCCCAGCAGUGGUGUGGAGAGAAGGUCAGUUGUGGCGCCUUUGAAAUGAACCAACUCUGCAAUGACAGACCGCAGUUACCCUGAAGAACUUGAGGAGCUCAGGGAACUGUGCGGCAGGGAGGUCACCGCGUCUGUGUGGCCUUGGUGAUACAGUGAAGGGCGAGAGCUGGUGCAGGCAGUCAGUGUAGGAGGAAUGAGACAAGGUGAGGCAGCGGAGGCAAGGGAUCAGAUCAGCUGCACGAGGCCCCAGCAUUGGCCUCGACGUAGGAUCGUUUGCUGGGCGAGUGGUUGACGUGAGGAGCAUCUCAACACAUCGCAGGCCUGCCUGUACUCGCUUCCACGCAGCCACGCCCUCCCGUCCACACACCAUU